GAACGGGGAGCAGCCCAGAGCCUGAAUCAGUGUGUGUGUUAGUGGAAGCGUCUGGAAAGGCGUGCGAUACAGGGUGACAGCCCCGUACACAAAAAUGCACAUACUGUGAGCUCGAUGAGUAGGGCGGGACACGUGGUAUCCUGUCUGAAUAUGGGGGGACCAUCCUCCAAGGCUAAAUACUCCUGACUGACCGAUAGUGAACCAGUACCGUGAGGGAAAGGCGAAAAGAACCCCGGCGAGGGGAGUGAAAAAGAACCUGAAACCGUGUACGUACAAGCAGUGGGAGCCUCUUAAUGGGGUGACUGCGUACCUUUUGUAUAAUGGGUCAGCGACUUAUAUUCUGUAGCAAGGUUAACCGAAUAGGGGAGCCGAAGGGAAACCGAGUCUUAACUGGGCGUUAAGUUGCAGGGUAUAGACCCGAAACCCGGUGAUCUAGCCAUGGGCAGGUUGAAGGUUGGGUAACACUAACUGGAGGACCGAACCGACUAAUGUUGAAAAAUUAGCGGAUGACUUGUGGCUGGGGGUGAAAGGCCAAUCAAACCGGGAGAUAGCUGGUUCUCCCCGAAAGCUAUUUAGGUAGCGCCUCGUGAAUUCAUCUCCGGGGGUAGAGCACUGUUUCGGCAAGGGGGUCAUCCCGACUUACCAACCCGAUGCAAACUGCGAAUACCGGAGAAUGUUAUCACGGGAGACACACGGCGGGUGCUAACGUCCGUCGUGAAGAGGGAAACAACCCAGACCGCCAGCUAAGGUCCCAAAGUCAUGGUUAAGUGGGAAACGAUGUGGGAAGGCCCAGACAGCCAGGAUGUUGGCUUAGAAGCAGCCAUCAUUUAAAGAAAGCGUAAUAGCUCACUGGUCGAGUCGGCCUGCGCGGAAGAUGUAACGGGGCUAAACCAUGCACCGAAGCUGCGGCAGCGACACUAUGUGUUGUUGGGUAGGGGAGCGUUCUGUAAGCCUGUGAAGGUGUACUGUGAGGUAUGCUGGAGGUAUCAGAAGUGCGAAUGCUGACAUAAGUAACG
rnacentral:rRNA from 1 species